GUGGCACUGUUGUGGUGCAAGUGAAACUGCCCAAACUAUUUGGUUCCUGAUUUGACUGACUUCGAUCUCAAGCCACAUGUGUCACAGUGCCUGAUGGAAGUCAAAGCAGCUGAGACUGCUGAAUCAGGAAUAUAGUUUAAUAAAGCGAGAAAGGGCGUCUGACCUUUUCCAAACUGCUGUAUUCCUCUGCAAUGUAUUCAAGUUAGCAAAUGACUCUGUGACUUGAAACUAUAAGAGUCACUUGGUAGUUUCCAUGCUUCUCUUCUUGUUCCAGAAAUCUGACCGUUGUCAGUUAUUUGUUCAAUUAUGAUUGUUUAAGAACGUCCUAUAAUGGAAACAAUUUACAGAAA